rnacentral:rRNA from 1 species
CGAAGGUGGCAAGCGUUGUUCGGAUUACUGGGCGUACAGGGAGCGUAGGCGGUUGGAUAAGCCCUCCGUGAAAUCUCCAGGCUUAACCUGGAAAGUGCAGAGGGGACUGUUCAGCUAGAGGAUGGGAGAGGAGCGCGGAAUUCCCGGUGUAGCGGUGAAAUGCGUAGAGAUCGGGAGGAAGGCCGGUGGCGAAGGCGGCGCUCUGGAACAUUUCUGACGCUGAGGCUCGAAAGCGUGGGGAGCAAACAGGAUUAGAUACCCUGGUAGUCCACGCCUUAAACGAUGGAUACUAAGUGUCGGCGGGUUACCGCCGGUGCCGCAGCUAACGCAGUAAGUAUCCCGCCUGGGAAGUACGGCCGCAAGGUUG